CAGCCCACCCUAGAGGCCACUUUUAGCCAGAGUGUUGGGGCCUUGACCCCACACUGCCUCGUCCCCUCUGUCCUCGCCCCGACCCUGACGCAUCAGAGCCGGGACACUGGUGACUUUCCUGGGGAAAUCUCUAGAUGUGACCUCUAUGGCCGGGGACAGGGGACUGGGUUUGAGUCUUGAGUCCUUUCCAGCAAGCGCCUUCCCGCUUGGAGCCUUGUUUCCUUCCUGGAUAAAUGGGCGGGGAAGCAUCACGGAGGUGUGCGGGUUUAAUCGGCACAUGCGCUGCUGCCUGCAGGCCAAGCUCAGGAUAAGCUCUUGCAGUAAAUAGCAACGUUUAUGUCCCUCGACUCCUGGCUCAGAGACGCGACCCAGAAUCUGGCAACCAUACCCGCCCCUUAGCUGGCCCCCCUCCACUGAUGACUAAUGGCCAGGUGUAAGACAGUCUUCCGAAGGGGCCGUAAGACCACCAUGGGCUCAAGAUAGACAUUGAGUCCUGCCCUCGCCCACCUCCUCCUCUCUCCACCUCCACAUCUUGGUUUCUUGUCCUCCGUGUGCAAAAUGUGCUUUCCUG
rnacentral:lncRNA from 10 species